rnacentral:rRNA from 1 species
UACGUAGGUGGCAAGCGUUGUCCGGAUUUAUUGGGCUUAAAGGGCGCGUAGGCGGCUUUGUAAGUCAGUGGUGAAAUAUGGCAGCUCAACUGUCAAGGUGCCAUUGAUACUGCGGAGCUUGAGUACAGAUGAGGUAGGCGGAAUUGACGGUGUAGCGGUGAAAUGCUUAGAUAUCGUCAAGAACACCGAUAGCGAAGGCAGCUUACUAGGCUGUAACUGACGCUGAGGCACGAAAGUGUGGGGAUCAAACAGG